UAGCGUAGGGGGCAAGCGUUGUCCGGAAUCAUUGGGCGUAAAGAGCGUGUAGGCGGCUUGGCAAGUCUGACGUGAAAGCCCGCGGCUCAACCGCGGAUUGUCGUUGGAAACUGCCUCGCUAGAGUCCGGAAGAGGAGAGCGGAAUUCCUGGUGUAGCGGUGGAAUGCGCAGAUAUCAGGAAGAACACCCGUGGCGAAGGCGGCUCUCGUGGGACGGUACUGACGCUGAGACGCGAAAGCGUGGGGAGCGAACAGG
rnacentral:rRNA from 1 species